UUCUUGCAUUUUUUGAUUUGUGUUUUCUUCCAUUUCUUUUAGGGAUUUUCUCAUAUCCUCUUUGAGGGUCUCUUUUAUUUUCAGGAGUUUGCUUUGAAGAUCAUUUUUCCUGUUUCAUCUGUGUUAAUAUGUUCAGGUCUUGCUGGUGUAGAGUUUCUAGACUCUGGUGGUGUCAUACUGGUUCCUCUGUUGUUGGCUGUGUUUUUAUAUUGCUUUCUUCCCAUCCUUUUUUCAAUGGGAGCCCAUGGGGUCUCUUCCUCUCCUGGUGGGUUGGGGUCUACUGAUCAUUUCCAGUGCGUUCAAGCAGGUCCAGUACUUCAAUGGGUGCAGGUGGGUCUGGGACACUCUCAAGCACUGGUCAGAGACCAGAGUGGACUAAAGACUUAAACAUCAGCCUAGCACCACAUAGCAAGAGGACCCGAAGGAAGAAUUGCUUAGAUCCAGCUAGUCUCCUGUGGAAGACUGUCUUGAGUGCCAUAAUGGUGCAUGAAUGUUGAUAGCAACAUUUCAUCAACAGCACUUUGUGUAUGAAUGAAGCGAGCAGGAAGCAGGCAAUUAAAUAAGCGUGCAUUGGGUCUCUCUGUCUCAUGAAUAUGGAUGUGAUGUGACUAGCUGCUUCUGCUCCUAUGUUGAGCUCCCCUCAAGGAUGUAACUAGGAAUUGUAAGCCUAAUAAACCCUUUCCUCCCUUGCUGUUGAUUUUUGCUGCCAUCUUUUAUCCCAGGAACAGAAAUGAAACUCAAACACAAAUUGGCGCUGAGGAAAUGGAGUUGUUCCUGUGAUAAAACUGACUCUGUUGUUUGGGCAGAGAAAUCUGAGAGACUCUGCAGCUUUGGUCUGGAAAAGCUAUUGGAUGUUACUGGAAACACCCACUGAGACAUUUUAAUGAAAGCUUGGAAGACAGUAAUACUGAAAGCAAUGUGGGCAGUGGAGGCCUAGCUCAUGAAGUUUCAGGGUGACGAGGACUUUACUAGAAACUGGGUCAGGGACCAUUCAUGAGAUAUUUUGACUAAAUAUGCAUGUGCUGAUUAGGCUGGGACUAAAGAAUCUGUUGUAAUUAAUAAGAAACAUUUACUGUUGAAUGGAAAGUUGUGUUUCAUUGUGACAACAGGAAAGUAUUUCAUUAGGACUAGCAUACAGAAACUCAACCAACUGUGGUCCAAAUGGGCCAGGCUGGCUACACCAGAAUUUUACAGAAAAACUUGGCAAUAAUAUAGGAGAUGUCCACAUGGUACUAGUGUUAAAGGAAUAAAGUGAUCAUGGAGAGAAGCUGAGGUCUGGCACUGUGUGAAAGCAAGGACUCAGUUGCAGUAGAGACCCCAGGAUGCUGAGAGGCCAGAAUUAUUGGUUAUCUCCCAAGGGUAGCCGUGGGUGUGGAACUGAACCAGGCUAAGAUAGAAACUGUGUGGUGGAAAGGGCAGAACUGGGGGAUGGGGUCACCAAAGCCCUCUGGAGCCCCAAAGAUCACAAGCCACAGAUAAUCAGACACUAAACAACUAGACUUGGUAUUUAUACUGUUGGGCUUUGGUUUGACUUAAGCAUGAUUGUUCACUUACUGUGCUGCAGUUCUUCCUUUUUGGAACAAGAAUGUUUAAGUGGUAACUUUUUAAAUCUAUUUUAUAGGAGCUUGUGGUUAAGAGACUUUGGGAUUUUUAAUGUUUUGCACCUUUGAAGUAUUGAAAUUGCUUAAGACUUUUGGAGCUUUCUAGAGUGUGACUUUGUUUUGUAUUAUAAGAGUAACAUGAGACUUUGGAGACAAGAGAUUAAAUAAUUAUGCUUGGGGUAAUGUUUGUGUGUCAAGGUGACAAGGUGUGGAUUAUGAAGGAUAAUUUUAAAUGUCAACUUGCCACAGCCUAGAAUCAUAUGGGAAGAAAGUCUUAAUGAAGGAUUGCCUAGAUCAGGUUGAUCCAUUUGGGGGAUUGUCUUUAUUGCCUUAUUUGGGACAGGUAAAAGGACCCUGAAUAUAGGUGGUACCAUUUCAUGGGCGGGGCCUUCAGCUGUACACGAAUAUAGAAAGCAGGAAAUAACAGGCAAGGAUCCCUUUGUUCUCUCUCCACUCUGAAAUGUGGAUGUGAUGUGGCAAUGGAACUGUUCCUUCCUAGACUUCACUUCAGUGAUUAAACUGUAACUUGGGGUUGUAAACCAAA